GACGAACGCUGGCGGCGUGCUUAACACAUGCAAGUCGAACGGAAAGGCCCUGCUUUUGUGGGGUGCUCGAGUGGCGAACGGGUGAGUAACACGUGAGUAACCUGCCCUUGACUUUGGGAUAACUUCAGGAAACUGGGGCUAAUACCGGAUAGGAGCUCCUGCUGCAUGGUGGGGGUUGGAAAGUUUCGGCGGUUGGGGAUGGACUCGCGGCUUAUCAGCUUGUUGGUGGGGUAGUGGCUUACCAAGGCUUUGACGGGUAGCCGGCCUGAGAGGGUGACCGGCCACAUUGGGACUGAGAUACGGCCCAGACUCCUACGGGAGGCAGCGGUGGGGAAAAUUGCACAGUGGGCGGAAGCCUGAUGCAGCAACGCCGCGUGCGGGAUGACGGCCUUCGGGUGGUAAACCGCUUUCGCCUGUGACGAAGCGGGAGUGACGGUAAUGGGUAAAGAAGCACCGGCUAACUACGUG
rnacentral:rRNA from 1 species